CACUCAGUGACAGUGUUUUCAUCUCCUCCCAGCAUUCCCCAAGACACUUAGCCCAGAGGGGCUGGAUCUCACCUUUGCCACUAACUAUUGUUGGGCUUUUUCUGCUCACAAAUCUACUCCAAGAUCUUCCAUCUUGGAUUAUUUUCCUUCUACCUGAAGCACACCUUUAGAAGUUACGGCCGGGCGUGGUGGCUCACAUCUCUAAUCCUAGCACUUUGGGAGGCCAAGAGAUGGGGAUUCUUGUUAUGUUGCCCAG